AGUGAACGCUGGCGGUAGGCCUAACACAUGCAAGUCGAACGGCAGCACAGUAAGAGCUUGCUCUUACGGGUGGCGAGUGGCGGACGGGUGAGGAAUACAUCGGAAUCUACUUUUUCGUGGGGGAUAACGUAGGGAAACUUACGCUAAUACCGCAUACGACCUACGGGUGAAAGCAGUGGAUCUUCGGACCUUGCGCGAUUGAAUGAGCCGAUGUGGGAUUAGCUAGUUGGCGGGGUAAAGGCCCACCAAGGCGACGAUCCGUAGCUGGUCUGAGAGGAUGGUCAGCCACACUGGAACUUAGACACGGUCCAGACUCCUACGGGAGGCAGCAGUGGGGAAUAUUGGACAAUGGGCGCAAGCCUGAUCCAGCCAUACCGCGUGGGUGAAGGAGGCCUUCGGGUUGUAAAGCCCUUUUGUUGGGAAAGAAAAGCAGCAGGUUAAUACCCCGCUGUUCUGACGGUACCCAAAGAAUAAGCACCGGCUAACUUCGUG
rnacentral:rRNA from 1 species